rnacentral:lncRNA from 1 species
GAGAGUUUAGAAACUUCCUUCCAGAGAUUUGCUCUGAUACCACAUAAUACACUCCUAGGAUGCUUCUCUGGUUGGAAUGGGAUAGAUCCUUGCAAACAGAGAAUCAAAGACUCAAUCUGCUUCAAGGUUUGUGGAAUGAAUGGUGACACAAAGAGAUGUGAGAGGUCUCCUUGAUACUCCUAUGUGAAUCCCUUGGAUAUGACACAGCAAGACAAACACUCUUGUGGUUUUGUUAGAUAUGACACACUAACAAAGACUCAAGAACACUCAGAUCUACAAGAAGACUUGCAGCCGUCAGAGAGAGACAAGAGUCUGAAAAUAAAAGAUUGGAUAGUUCUAUUAGGGUUUUCAGACACAUAUUUAUAGAGAAGGCAAGGAACAGGCUCCUUGGUCUCUAAAUGGGCCUUAAAAAUAAACCUUAUAAAACCUUAUAAGGGUUUUCAAGUCUGGCAGCUUAAUUCUCAAGUCUAGCAGCCUAAUUCUCAAGUCUAGCAGUCUAAUUCUCAAGUCUAGCAGCUUAAUUCUGCUUCAUGUUAACAAAGAUAAAUAAUUAAAAUAAAGUCUUGAACUGAGAUCAUCAAAUGAGUGAUAGGAAAGCAACAUAUGGCCUCAUUAAAAACCUAUCUUUGGAAAACCCAGUGGGACAAAACCAAAGAUAGGGAAAAAGAGCACACAUAUGUUACUUGCUCAUUUGAUGUCUAUCUUGGAGCUGAGAUGGCUUGAAUUGUGGCAAGUGUGUCUUGGUUGAUCAAGCUUCUUCCAAGACUCUCUUCUUGCUUCAGUGAUGUCUUAAGUAAUCCCCCAAUGGCUUCUUUGAGUUGCUUGCUUCUGGCUCGAGUCAUAGGACCUUCAGAUAUGGCUAGAGCUCCUCCAUCAACUGGAUCAUCCAUGCUCUCAUUAUCUUCUUUGUUUGGCUGGUCCAUGAUCAUAUCAUCCCCUCCCUCUUGAAAAGGAUUUGUCCUCAAAUCUAGCUCAUCUGCAACAAAAGGAGCCAAGUCAGUAACAUUAAAGCUAUUACUUAUAUCAUACUUACCUUGAAGAUCAAGCUUGUAGGCAUUGUCAUUGAUUUUCUGGAUGACUUCAAAAGGGCCAUCAAUCCGCGGCAUGAGCUUAGAUUUUCUUUCAUUUGGAAACCUCUCCUUGCGCAAGUGAACCCACACUUUAUCACCUACGUCAAAGAUCAUCUCACGCCUGCCUUUGUUUGCUCUUUUAGUGUACUGCUUGGUUUUCUCCACAAUGUUUCUUCUUGCCUGCUCAUGAAUCUGCUGCACCAUUUCUGCUUUCUUUUUCCCAUCCAUGCUCACCCUUUCACACUCAGGUAAAGGCAUUAGAUCCAAAGGUGAGAUGGGAUUGAACCCAUAAACAAUUUCAAAAGGAGAAUACUUAGAAGCAGAAUGCUGAGCAUGAUUAUAAGCAAAUUCACAGUGAGGCAAGAACUCUUCCCAUGAUUUCAGAUUCUUUUUAAUGAAUGCACGCAAGAGAGUUCCAAGAGUUCUAUUAACUACCUCAGUUUGCCCAUCAGUUUGUGGAUGACAUGUAGUAGAGAAUAACAGCUUAGUACCAAGCUUAGACCAAAGAGUCUUCCAAAAAUAACUAAGAAACUUAGUAUCUCUAUCAGAAACUAUAGUCUUAGGCAUGCCAUGAAUGCGCACAAUAUCUUUAAAGAACAGGUUAGCAACAUGCAAUGCAUCAUCAGUUUUAUGGCAAGCAAUGAAAUGUGCCAUUUUUGAAAACCUAUCCACAACUACAAAGAUAGAAUCCUUACCUGUCUUGGUCCUUGGCAAACCCACAAUAAAAUCCAUGGAUAUAUCAUUCCAGGGGUGAGUAGGAAUAGGUAAAGGAGUGUACAAACCAUGUGGUUGAACCUUAGAUUUGGCAAGCUUGCAAGUGGUGCAUCUACCACAGAUUCUCUCAACAUCUCGUUUCAUGUGUGGCCAGUAAAAGUGAUCCUGCAAGACUUUAAGAGUUUUUGCUAUACCAAAAUGACCCAUCAAGCUUCCUCCAUGGGAUUCCCUGAAAAAUAGAUCUCUCAAAGAGCAAUUAGGCACACAUAAACGAUUGUCAUAGAAUAAGAAUCUAUCAUGCCUAAAGUAAUGUCCAGCAGCAUACUUAGCACAUGAAUUAUAAGCUUCUUGAAAGUCAGGAUCAGAUUCAUACAUUUCUUUAAUCUGCUCAAAGCCUAGCAACUUAACAUCAAGAGUAUUCAAGAGGACAUACCUUCUGGAUAGUGCAUCAGCAACUAUAUUUUCCUUACCUUGUUUGUAUUUGAUCACAUAAGGGAAGGUUUCAAUGAAUUCCACCCAUCUGGCGUGUCUCUUGCUGAGCUUGCUUUGUCCUUUGAGGUACUUGAGAGAUUCAUGGUCUGUGUGAAUGACAAACUCCUUUGGCCAGAGAUAAUGCUGCCAAGUCUGUAGAGCUCUCACCAAGGCGUAGAGUUCUUUGUCAUAAGUGGCAUAGUUGAGAGUAGCUCCACUGAGUUUCUUACUGAAAUAAGCAAUAGGUCUUUUAUCUUGCAUCAACACAGCACCAAUUCCAAUUCCUGAGGCAUCACAUUCUAUUUCAAAUGUUUUAGAAAAAUCAGGAAGUAUAAGAAGAGGAGAUUGAGUAAGCUUCUCUUUAAGGAGUUGGAAUGCGGCUUCUUGAACUUCUCCCCACUUGAAUCCUACAUCCUUCUUGAUUAUCUCAGUCAGGGGAGCUGUUAGAGUGCUGAAAUCCUUCACAAAGUGCCUAUAGAAACCUGCCAGUCCAUGGAAACUCCUUACUUCUCCCACUGUAGUUGGACUCGGCCACUCUUGUAUUGCUUUGAUCUUCUCCUGAUCCACCUUUACACCAUCUGCACUUACAACAAAACCUAGAAAGACCAAGUUAUCUGUGCAAAAAGUGCACUUCUUCAGAUUGGCAUAAAGUUUUUCUUUUCUCAAAACAUCCAAAACAGCACUAAGAUGUUCUAUAUGAUCUUCUAAGCAUUUGUUGUAAACUAAUAUAUCAUCAAAGUACACAACAACAAAGAUACCUAUGAAAGACCUAAGAAUAUGAUUCAUCAGUCUCAUGAAUGUACUAGGAGCAUUGGUUAAUCCAAAUGGCAUGACUAACCAUUCAUACAAGCCAUGUUUAGUUUUAAAAGCAGUUUUCCACUCAUCUCCUUCUUUCAUCCUAAUCUGAUGAUAUCCACUUUUCAAAUCUAUCUUAGAAAAGAUGCAAGAACCAUGUAACUCAUCAAGCAUGUCAUCUAAUCUAGGAAUAAGGUGGUGAUACUUCACUGUUAUGUUGUUGAUUGCUCUACAAUCAACACACAUGCGCCAGCUCCCAUCUUUCUUAGACACAAGGAGCACUGGAACUGCACAGGGACUCAAGCUCUCUCGGAUAUGACCCGUCUCCAUCAGCUCCUCUACUUGUCUUUGCAAUUCUUUAGUCUCCACUGGAUUAGUUCUGUAUGCAGGUCUGUUUGGUAGUGUUGAACCAGGUACAAAGUCGAUUUGGUGCUCAAUCCCACGAACUGGAGGCAAUCCAAUGGGGCUAUCUUCUGGAAACACAUCUGCAUAUUCCUGUAAAAGAGAGACUAGUUCACUCGGUUGAUCCGGUGUGUGAUCAGUGACUGUUAGUAAAGUCUCCUUAAACAUAAGCAAGAUAAUAGAAUUUUGAGAGUAAAGAAUUCUUUUGAUAUCUCCCUGUUUGGCAUAGAGGCUGUGAUGCUUGUUCUGAUCAGGUUUGAGGUCUAUCUCUUUCUCCUUCUUUUUCUGAAGCUGGAGUUGAUCUUCAUGAACCUCUUUAGGAGAUAAAGGCACUAGUACAGUCUUCUUUCCCUUGAAUUCAAAUGAGUGCUUGUUGGUGAAGCCAUCAUGAUUCACACGUCUAUCAUACUGCCAGGGUCUUCCAAGGAGUAUAUGACUGGCUUCCAUUGGCAACACAUCACACAAGACUUCAUCUUCAUAUCUACCAAUGGCUACAGGAACCAGAACUUGAGCAGAAACUCUCAUCUCGCCCUCCUCAUUAAGCCACUGCAAUCUGUAUGGUCUUGGGUGUUUCUGAAUUUUCAAACCCAAUUUCUUCACCAUUGUCUCACUAGCUACAUUGACACAACUUCCUCCAUCAACAAUGAGACUGCACACCUUUCCCUGAACAAUACACCUUGUGUAAAACAGAUUCUCACGCUGCUCAAGCUCUCCAUUCGUAGUCUACAAGUUCAAGAGCCUUCUUGUCACCAACAAUCUUCCUUUCACUGGUUCUACUUCACUUUCUUCUCCAGACUCCUCAUGAUCAGACCCAGACUUCUCUUCCUCUGAUUCAUAAUCUCCAUUCUCAAGAAGAAUCAUAACCUUUUUGUUGGUGCACUCAUUCGCAUAAUGCCCACGCCCUUGACAUUUGAAACACUUAACAUCUCUGGUUCUGGAACUAGUAGCUUCAGCUUUGCCUUUGUCUUUGCUGGAUGUGCUGCUCGGCUUAGUCUCUUCUUUCUGCUGAGGCUUGCUAUCCUUCAGAUAGGAUGGUUUCUCUUCCUUAGAGUGGUGGAACCUAGAAGAUCCAUAACUGCGUGAGUUACCCUUCCUCUUGAGCUGCUGCUCCACUAGAAUAGCUUUGUGCAACAUCUCUUCUAUCUCCACAUAGUGUUGCAUCUCCACACUGUCUUGUAUCUCACGGUUAAGCCCUCCAAGGAACCUGGCCAUAGUAGUUUCUCUAUCCUCCAAGAUACCAGCCCUCAACAUCAGCAUCUCCAUGUCUUGAUAGUACUCUUCCACAGUCUUAGAUCAUUGGGUAAGUCUUCUAAGCUUCUGAUGGAGAUCUCGGUGGUAAUGGCUUGGCACAAACCUCUUGCGCAUAAGAGACUUCAUCUCAUGCCAUGAGUCAACUGGAUACUCCUGGUUAAGUCUUCUAGUAGUCACCAACUGAUCCCACCAACUCAAAGCAUAGUCAUAGAACUCAGUGGCAGCAAUCUGAAUUCUUUGGGCAUUGGGGUAGUGUUGCACAUUGAAGACAAGCUCUAUCUACUUCACCCAAUCUAAGUAAGCAUCCGGAUCAACUUUCCCAUGAAAGGGGGGAAUUUUAAGCUUUAAACCAGCAAGCUCAUCCCUGUGAAGUCUUCUUCCAUCAUGAUCACGCCUAUGCCUCCUCCUACUGUCCCUAGAGGAAGAGCUACUGCGCUCAGAUCGGUUGCGGUCAUAGUAGUUAUCAGUCUCUUGUGAACCAGCAUGCUCCUGUUGUGGUUGAGUCCGUCUGUUCCUCCUGGAUUCAUUACUGUGACCCUGACCAGUAGCUUGUCUGAUCUCUUCUCUGAUCUCUUUCAGACUUUCUUUCAUCAUCUCGGUCAUGUUGGUAAGCAUAGUCUGAUUGAGUUGAUUAGUCAUGGCUUCCAUCAACAACUUGUUCUUCCUCAUUAGUUCUGCUUCUUCAUCAGUUGCAUUACCCAUUGGUACCUGAAACCAAAGAUAACACUCAACCAGUAAGGAGUUCGAAAUCAAAAUCAAAUAAGAAAACAAACAAGAGAUGAAACAGAUUCAGCACAGAUCUAGAAUAAAAAUUCUCAGAUUUUCGACAAACAAGAACAGAUCUAUCAGUUUUACACAAGUUAAUCAAUAGAUCGGAUGAUAAACUGAUAGAAACAAUAGAUCUAACACAACAACAACAAGAGAUGAACAGAUUCAGUACAGAUCUAGAAUAAAAAUUCUCAGAUUUAUCACAUUCAAAGCACAGAACAACAGAUCUAUCAAUAUUGAACUCAGAUUGAAAAUAACAAGCCCUAAAUCAGACAAUAAUCAGAUACUCCACCUGAGAUUAGAUCUAGAACAGAUUGACCAAAAACUCAAACAGAUAAAGAGAAACUCAACCUAUUCAAGCCCAAAUCGAAUCAGAUUCAAAUCUAGACAGAGAAUUUUGACCACAAACCCAAUCAGAACAGAUCUAAACAAUUUCAAUUUUUUUUUUUUUCAGAUCUAGAGUUCAUAAGAAAAUUUCGAAAUUGAAAAUAGAAAUAGAGAGUUUAGAAACUUCCUUCCAGAGAUUUGCUCUGAUACCACAUAAUACACUCCUAGGAUGCUUCUCUGGUUGGAAUGGGAUAGAUCCUUGCAAACAGAGAAUCAAAGACUCAAUCUGCUUCAAGGUUUGUGGAAUGAAUGGUGACACAAAGAGAUGUGAGAGGUCUCCUUGAUACUCCUAAGUGAUUCCCUUGGAUAUGA